rnacentral:ribozyme from 1 species
GGCGCAGGAGUCCCUCUUCUUCCCGGCCUGCGGAGUGCAGGCCGAGGGCGUGA